GACAUGUAUCUUUUGGAGUACAUUCUUAGGAAAUAUUAGACCAUUUUGUGCACAUGUUUCUAAUCGUAUAUUAUUUUUCACUCAGUUCUAUGUUUUGAAGAUGCAUCCACGCGACUACAUCUAAAUCUGGUACUUCUGCCUCCUGCCUGCUGCUCCGUGGUCACAGAUACUCUCCGUCGUGCUCUUCAGCGAACUUAAUAGUUUUUGCCCUGCACAUUCGAUCCGGGGGAUGUCUUAGAGCUGACUCAGCAGAGCCAGGCGCACUCAGGUUCUCUGCCAAUGACGUUUCCCCAGCAACAGAAGUUUGACAUCACUGCUCCCAGAAGGGAGAAUCAGCUCUCCUCAUUUGGGUCAGAAACAGGCCAUGAGGUUUGGUCCAACCAACAGAACCAACCUCCCUGCAUCCUGGAGGACCCAAUGCCACUGGAACCAAAAAUGCUCCAUGCCUGGAAGGCAGGAGGCAGGUCCAGGGGGAGGAAGAGAGGCUGCUACCUGUCUGGAAUGAAAGCAUGAGGUCUUUUUUUGUAAAGGCCAGAAGACACAGCUGUACCGAGCUGCACUGCCUGAAGCCUGCAGAACCUCCACGUGUUGGGUGAACCAACUCAAAGCCUUUCUCCUCCUGCACAUGAACAAUGGAUUCACCCAGCAUCCCCUCCACUACUGCUUCUACCCUCCUGACAGCUCGCCAGGGGAGCCGGCCAACGUUACCACCGUUUUCCAGAGAAUUCCCGGCCGAACGGCUGCAACUCACCCACUACAGGGUCAGACCAAGGGGGAGAGCCACGCCGCCUCCAGGCCUCGGGCCAGCUGACAGGGCGCUCCUUCCCACCUCAUCUCCCCAGGGCACAUCUACUCUCUCUUCUUCCACCAUUAUUAACGCUCACAGUGCACAGACAGGGUUUCCCUGUGCCUGGGCAGGAUUCUGUGUAGAAUCACUAGGAAUGUGAGCGACGUCGGGGCAGGGGUCUAUGCACUCAUCUGGUCACCGUAAACCCUCCCUCCCCGCCGGUCCUCACCUGCACUGCACUGUUUUCUGAGGGCCACCUGUCCUUCAUGUUAUGAGCAGCCAACUCCUUCAAGGAACAACAGACGGCAGCCCUGGACGAAGGUGUGGCGUGCAGCCCCCACGUGCCAAGGGCAGCUGCUGUCUUCCAGCAGCCAGCCAGCCCCCAGCUCUGCUUCUCGUCUAGCCCUGCUUCCUGCGCCCCAAACAGCCAGCCUUGCUGUGUGCCUGGGGGUGCACAGGGAAGAGGGUUGGGCUUUGGGGCCAUCCGUGCCCUCUCUGAAGCUCCGGGACCCGCCCUAUCCGUUACGAUGAAAGGUGGCUUCCCCGUCCCUCCAGAGAUUCCAGUUUCAGCCUCGGUCCCCAGGACUGGAAUGUGGGGGGCAGAAGUGGAAAGAGGCAGGGGAGACCUGAACGAGGGCGCCUAGGAGAAGAACAGAGAGCUCAAGGGGGUGGGGGGGUUGGUAGCAAUGAUGCUAAACGUUCUAAUUUCAGCUCUCCUUCCAAUACCCUUUUUCCCACCCCUUGAAGAGCUUUAAAACAUUGGGCCUUGAUUCACAGAUAAAAGGGGUGCCAGCUAGAGAAGCAAAACCAGGAGCCUAUGGUCACCUUCCUCCCGCUGAGGGCAGUGAGGCCUCUAGUACCGAGAGGAAAUCCCACCCAAAUAUACCCCUGACUGUCCCUGCCCAGGACAGGAAACCCAGGCAUGGUCCUCGUCACAGUCAGGCUAGCCUGGGGAAAGAAAAGCAGAGUCUAUGUGGUUCCCACACUAGCACACUUGCGGAAUGGGAACCCUUGGACUUGGCCCCUGCCAGAGAGCAUUGAGCCACAUCCCCACCCAGAUACAGCAGAUGGGACACCUCACACACUGAUGCUCAAGAUCUUGCCACAUCUGACACCCGAAGGCACUUUUAAGGUUUUUUCCAACAUUAUUUCAUCUAUCCCAGGAUCCAGCCCUGUGAGAUUGGUUAACGUCUGAGAAAAUCAAGGUGCUAGGACAGCUAAAACAAAGGUGUGUGGCGGAGUGAAGGUAACGUGGGGGUCAACUUUCUAGCAUCAGGGAUGACACAGGGCUACAAAACUCCAGGUCUGAACCAGGUCAACCCCUGAGCCUGGGAUUUCCCUUGGAUAAAAUCUCCAGAAUGCCUUUCCUAUCAUUAGCUUCUACCACCAGUGAACUGAGACUGCUCUUACCUGGAUUUCAGUUAAAGAAUGUUUAUGUGGUCAUUAUUUUGCAGCGUUUGUCGACUGCAUCUUUUCCCUUUUGUUUGCAGAAGUAAAUCUCAAACCCCAUAUAGAUGUUAACGGAUUCAGACCACAUUCAACCAGGUGUGAAUAACCUCUCCACUAGGGCAGGAGGCAUUCACCAGGAGGGUCUCCUCUGCAAGGAUUGUUCUUCACUACUUGCUGAAUGUGGAUCACAGGCUCAGACCCCAGACCAUCUGGGGUACAGGGCUACGUGGCAACACCAAAAGCACACGGGCUCAAAAAGAAAAAAAAUACAUUGGGUAAGCUGUUCUAAUCAACUUUUAAAGCUUUGUGUGUGUGCUUCUAAUAUAAAAAGAUUUGUCUCCCCUCCUUAGCUUCCCAUUCUAUUUCACCAUCUCUUCAAAAUUAUGUCCCGGAAAGCCUGAAAAUUCACCUGCUGGCUAUGCAGAAAGUUAUGCAGAUGCAAAAUCAGUGGAGAGACAACUCUGAAGUUUACAUCUGAGGAUGUUGCCAGCAUAAAUUUCAUAUCCAGAUACUUUGAUUAAAAAUAGGAAAUUCUAUUAUAAGAAAAUAAAAUUACCAUGGCAACAUUUUCCCAACACAGUUUGUAGUCACAUGGACUUUCAAGUGACACCAAGGUAGCUCAAUAGCAAUUCACCACCAGUAAUGACCAAGUACACUGAAUUCCCUAAAAUGACAUCCUUGCUUUCCCCAUCUGCUCAAUAACUCCUGCAACAGUUUUUGACUAUUAAAAACUACCAAAAUAGGAUUUUUAAAUUUAUCAAGAUCACAUAAUUCAACCCAAAGUAUUCUAUGCAAUCGUGGUGGAGCUAUUCAGAUUCCAGACUUCUAUGAAGCACAAUCCAAAGGGCAAACUUCCAAAAUGGCCUCCUGAACGGUACUGGGCAACCCAGUCUGAAAUUUCUAGAGACCUCAGGGAUCACGUUCAGAUCUAAAUUUUGGAAAACUAUAAUCAGCCAAUAUUUUGACAAUGAGAGAAAGAAAAGUAACUUUUCAGAGCACAGGGUUAAUUGUAAAGCUUUAUAAGCUAUAAAGCUCUAAAAAAGUUAACACACACUUAACUCUUAUUCAUAAAAAAAUGAGGCCCUUAAUCUAAUUAAGAUGACUGGGAAAGGUGGGGAGGAGUAAUUAAUUUGGGAGAUCUUCUGAAAACAAGUACACAGGGUCAAGUAUAAAAUGACAUGAUUAAAGUGACAGGUAUUCGGCUGCCACCUAAAAGGCUGAUGACAACAGCCUCUCCCGCCUGUGACUGUAAAGUGCCACCGUAUGAAUGUGUGUGACUUGCCUACUCUAGUUUGUGGCCAACUGCAAGGAAUCGUGAUAUUCUCAUUUCUGCUCACGCUUAUAAGUUAAUGAUCCGGUAGCACUGGUUACUCAAUUUUAAAAAUAUCCAGAUAUACCCUGCAAAUAAAUACGAAACAGUUCUGUAUCCCUACAAUCCCACUACCAUAAAAGGCUAUAUAUAAAUUUAAUAAAUUCAGUUUUCUUACCCAUUUUCUCAGCUUAAGUUUCUCCUUACCCUAAGUGAAGACCUGUUCAACUUAUACCUAAAAUAUAUUUAAAUAUUCUAAAGGUAUCAUAUCAGACCUAAGUUAUCAAAAAAUGUAAACAAAAUUUAUCCAUCUUAUAGUUAUAAACCACUUUUUAAAGUUUUUAAUUCACCCUCUACUGGCCCUCAAAAAAAAAAAAACUAACCAAGUCACGUUUAGACUGAAAAGCUGAUACAGAUUUUUAAGUGGUUCCUCAGAGACAACUGCCAAUUACUUUAAACUACUGUUAUUGAAUCUAGUGGUUUAUUGCUUCACUCAAUUUAAAAGACCAAAAUAAUUCCAUUUUGGUCUUCCAAUAAUGCUCUUUCUGAAUAAGCCCCCAGAUUCAGCUGUCCGAAGUAAUCGGGCGGAACUGGAGAUUCUGCAGUAACCCUCAGCACAAAACUGGGACUGGAUGUCAAGCAAUCUCAUGCUUUCAACUGCACCUAUGAAAAAAUCUCAGCUCUCGGGAUCAAUCCGCUUUGGUUGAAAGAAACUUCAAGGGUGGAAACUUAAGGUGAAGUCGAGAAGCAAAAAGGGGAACACCGAUGACCCUCAUAGGAAAAUCAAAGGAUCUGUCCAUCCCAUGAUGUCAUCCUCACACUCCACAGUCAGACUGCUUCUCCUGAAGCUGCCUCGUCAGUAUCUGAUAUGAAGACAGGAAAGCCACUCCUAUGUGGAAGAGGAUUUGCCAGAGGUUCCUCAGCCCAUGCAGGUACAGGUUGCCCAGGCAAAUAAAAAGCAGCAUCAGCACCACCUUCAUCGUCCUGGCUGGACUGUAGAACAGGUACAAAUAACACUGAAAUGACACCAGAAGAGGAAGUCCCAUCAGAGAUAAUGAAAUGGCCAGGGUCAGACG